AAUUAUCAAUUUGGAUAUUUACGAUUUUGGCACUACACCUAUAUUGAGGGGCUGAGAUUGGAAAUUGAAGGGAAGAUAAUGAAGAGUCCAAGUAUCAAUGAGUUCAUCUCUACAUUACUUCAGUGCAUUCGGAACAACAUCAAACUGUCCAACAAAACGAUGUUUGUGAUUCAAAAGCUGGUGCUGAUCUUCUUGACAUGAUUCUUUGCAAGUAGGGAAGCCUGAACCAAAACCUUCACCAACUUCAGAAAGUGGUA